UACGGAGGGUGCGAGCGUUGUCCGGAAUUAUUGGGCGUAAAGAGCUUGUAGGCGGUUUGUCGCGUCUGCCGUGAAAAUCCGAGGCUCAACCUCGGACUUGCGGUGGGUACGGGCAGACUAGAGUGUGGUAGGGGGAGACUGGAAUUCCUGGUGUAGCGGUGAAAUGCGCAGAUAUCAGGAGGAACACCGAUGGCGAAGGCAGGUCUCUGGGCCACUACUGACGCUGAGGAGCGAAAGCAUGGGGAGCGAACAGG
rnacentral:rRNA from 1 species